rnacentral:rRNA from 1 species
AACGGGAUUAGAAACCCCGGUAGUCCUAGCCGUAAACGAUGGAUGCUGGGUCUGGGGGGUAUAGAUCCCCUCCGCGCCGCAGCUAACGCGUUAAGCAUCCCGCCUGGGGANUACGGCCGCAAGGCUUAAACUCAAACGAAUUGACGGGGGCCCGCACAAGCAGCGGAGCGUGUGGUUUAAUUCGAUGCUACACGAAGAACCUUACCUGGGCUUGACAUGUAGGUAGUAGUGAAGCGAAAGCGGAACGACCCUUCGGGGAGCCUACACAGGUGCUGCAUGGCUGUCGUCAGUUCGUGCCGUGAGGUGUCGGGUUAAGUCCCGUAACGAACGCAACCCUUGCCCUUAGUUACAUGUGUCUAAGGGGACUGCCCGGGACAACUGGGAGGAAGGUGGGGAUGACGUCAAGUCAGCAUGGCCUUUAUGUCCAGGGCUACACACACGCUACAAUGGCCGGUACAAUGGGUCGCCAAGCCGUGAGGCGGAGCCAAUCCCGCAAAGCCGGUCUAAGUUCGGAUUGUGGGCUGCAACUCGCCCAUAUGAAGCUGGAGUUGCUAGUAACCGCGCGUCAGCAAUAGUGCGGUGAUACGUUCCCGGGCCUUGUACACACCGCCCGUCACGUCAUGGAAGCUGGCAACACCUGAAGCCAGUGAGCUAACCCGCAAGGGGGCAGCUGUCGAAGGUGGGGCUGGUGACUGGGACGAAGUCG